GAUGAACGCUGACAGAAUGCUUAACACAUGCAAGUCUACUUGAAGCUAACUUCGGUUAGUGGAGGGUGGCGGACGGGUGAGUAACGCGUAAAGAACUUGCCUCACAGUUUGGGACAACAUUUGGAAACGAAUGCUAAUACCGGAUAUUAUGAUACUUCUGCAUGGAAGAAUCAUGAAAGCUAUAUGCGCUGUGAGAGAGCUUUGCGUCCCAUUAGCUAGUUGGAGAGGUAACGGCUCACCAAGGCGAUGAUGGGUAGCCGGCCUGAGAGGGUGAACGGCCACAAGGGGACUGAGACACGGCCCUUACUCUUACGGGAGGCAGCAGUGGGGAAUAUUGGACAAUGGACCAAAAGUCUGAUCCAGCAAUUCUGUGUGCACGACGAAGUUUUUCGGAAUGUAAAGUGCUUUCAGUUGGGAAGAAGCAAGUGACGGUACCAACAGAAGAAGCGACGGCUAAAUACGUGCCAGCAGCCGCGGUAAUACGUAUGUCGCAAGCGUUAUCCGGAUUUAUUGGGCGUAAAGCGCGUCUAGGUGGUUAUAUAAGUCUGAUGUGAAAAUGCGGGGCUCAACUCCGUAUUGCGUUGGAAACUGUAUGACUAGAGUACUGGAGAGGUAAGCGGAACUACAAGUGUAGAGGUGAAAUUCGUAGAUAUUUGUAGGAAUGCCGAUGGGGAAGCCAGCUUACUGGACAGAUACUGACGCUAAAGCGCGAAAGCGUGGGUAGCAAACAGG
rnacentral:rRNA from 1 species